GGCUGAAUGGUUUAGUGGUAUAAUUCUUGCUUUGGGUCCUUCCUUGAAUGUAAGAGGUCCUGGGUUCAAUUCCCAGUUCAGCCC
rfam:Cladophialophora carrionii strain KSF Contig1651, whole genome shotgun sequence.